AAGGACGUCUGGCAAAGGGAGACCAGUUUAGGACCAUCCCCGGUCUGCUGGUGUUACUGGGACAGCCAGGGUAAAUUUUCCAGAGGGCUCUUGUCCCCCCUUAAAUUCCAGGGCCAUCACUGCAGAGUCACCCGUGGCCGACAAGAGCCAGUAACCAAAGAGCAGACAGAGACUGCUGCUUUGGAGACACCAGCAAGCUCUUCUGGCUGUUCCAAGGCUCCAGCUGCUGCAGGAGCAUGAUUUGGAGGCUCAGCUGAAGGAACCUGAACAGGCAGAGCUGCUCCCUCAGGCUGUGGAUGGAAA